rnacentral:rRNA from 1 species
UACGGGGGGGGUAAGCGUUGUUCGGAAUUACUGGGCGUAAAGGGCUCGUAGGCGGCCAACUAAGUCGGACGUGAAAUCCCUCAGCUUAACUGGGGAACUGCGUCCGAUACUGGAUGGCUUGGAUUUGGGAGAGGGAUGCGGAAUUCCAGGUGUAGCGGUGAAAUGUGUAGAGAUCGGGAGGAACACCGGUGGCGAAGGCGGGUCUCUGGGCAAUUCCUGACGCUGAGGCGCGAAAGCGUGGGGAGCAAACGGG